rnacentral:rRNA from 1 species
AUUGAACGCUGGCGGUAUGCUUAACACAUGCAAGUCGAACGGUAGCAGGUCUAGCUUGCUAGAUGCUGACGAGUGGCGGACGGGUGAGUAACGCGUAGGAAUCUGCCUUAUUGUGGGGGAUAACCUGGGGAAACUCAGGCUAAUACCGCAUGAGCCCUAAGGGGGAAAGGAUGGGACCGCAAGGCCAUUCGCGAUAAGAUGAGCCUGCGUCGGAUUAGCUUGUUGGUGGGGUAAAGGCCUACCAAGGCGAGGAUCCGUAGCUGGUCUGAGAGGACGACCAGCCACACUGGGACUGAGACACGGCCCAGACUCCUACGGGAGGCAGCAGUGGGGAAUAUUGGACAAUGGGGGCAACCCUGAUCCAGCAAUACCGCGUGUGUGAAGAAGGCCUGCGGGUUGUAAAGCACUUUCAGUGGGAGGAAGAGCUUAUUGUUAAUAGCAAUGAGUUGAGACGUUACCCACAGAAGAAGCACCGGCUAACUCUGUGCCAG